rnacentral:rRNA from 1 species
UACGUAGGGUGCGAGCGUUAAUCGGAUUUACUGGGCGUAAAGCGUGCGCAGGCGGCCCGUUUAGACAGGUGUGAAAUCCCUGGGCUCAACCUAGGAAUUGCGCUUGUGACUGGCGGGCUCGAGUACGGUAGAGGGGGGUGGAAUUCCUGGUGUAGCAGUGAAAUGCGUAGAGAUCAGGAGGAACACCGAUGGCGAAGGCAGCCCCCUGGGCCUGUACUGACGCUCAUGCACGAAAGCGUGGGGAGCAAACAGG